GCGCCCGUGAUGUAACGGUAGCCUACCUGCUUGCCAUGCAGGAUGCGCGGGUUCAACUCCCGCUGGGCGCU
rnacentral:tRNA from 1 species